CGGACGGGUGAGUAAUGUCUGGGAAACUGCCCGAUGGAGGGGGAUAACUACUGGAAACGGUAGCUAAUACCGCAUAACGUCGCAAGACCAAAGAGGGGGACCUUAGGGCCUCUUGCCAUCGGAUGUGCCCAGAUGGGAUUAGCUAGUAGGUGGGGUAAUGGCUCACCUAGGCGACGAUCCCUAGCUGGUCUGAGAGGAUGACCAGCACACUGGAACUGAGACACGGUCCAG
rnacentral:rRNA from 1 species